UAUAAAAAGCCCAUUCUCUAGGUUGCUUCCAAACACUUCUCUACAUUCCUGCUUCUUAGAGAACUAGAUCCACCUCUGAACCUCAAAGAUGUCUGCUAGCCGUGGUGGAUGGCAUAAUGAAUGCUAUGCCCAGUGCCCCCCAUCAACAGUGACCAUCCGGCCACCACCUUUUGUCCUGAACAUCCCAGGGCCAGCUCUCUAUUGCCCUGACCAGCCUUUUGCCAUUGAGCAGUACAACCCAUGUGCUAAUAGAUAUGGCAUCAGCGGCAGAUCUUCUCUGUAUGCCAGUGGUGGUUCCAACAUGUCCGAGUUCUACACCCAAGCCCUGCCAAGCAACACA